rnacentral:miRNA from 1 species
UCUUUCCUAGUCCUGCCAUUCC